rnacentral:rRNA from 1 species
AAUGAACGCUGGCGGCGUGGAUAAGACAUGCAAGUCGAACGGGAGGUUUGAUGUAGUAAUACAUCGGGCCUCUAGUGGCGAACGGGUGAGUAUCACGUGAGCAACGUGCCCGGAAGAGCGGAAUAGCCCAUGGAAACGUGGAUUAAUGCCGCAUGUGACCUGGUGGGACAUCCCACUUCGGUUAAAGGUGGGGAUCGCAAGACCUGCCGCUUCCGGAUCGGCUCGCGGCCUAUCAGCUUGUUGGUGAGGUAACGGCUCACCAAGGCUACGACGGGUACCUGGUUUUAGAGAACGAUCAGGCACACUGGGACUGAGACACGGCCCAGACACCUACGGGUGGCAGCAGUCGAGGAUCAUGCACAAUGGGGGAAACCCUGAUGCUGCGACGCCGCGUGGAGGAUGAAGGUCUUCGGAUUGUAAACUCCUGUCAUCAAUGAGUAUGCUUCAGCCGGUGAAUAUCCGGCUGGGGUGACAGUAAUUGAAGAGGAAGGGACGGCUAACUUCGUGCCAGCCGCCGCAGUAAUAC